rnacentral:snRNA from 1 species
GUACUUGCUUUGGCAGUACAUGUACUAAAAUUGGAACGAUACAGAGAAGAUUAGCAUGGCGCUGUGCAAGGUAGUGAAGGAAGAAUAAGGAGUGACUUU